GGGCUCGUAGUGAAAUGGUAUCACGUGUCUAUGGCAUAGACAGAGUAGGGGUUCGAUUCCCCUCGAGUCCA
rnacentral:tRNA from 3 species